rnacentral:rRNA from 1 species
UACGGAGGGUGCAAGCGUUGUCCGGAAUUACUGGGCGUAAAGCGCGUGUAGGCGGUUCGUUAUGUCGGGUGUGAAAUCCCCAGGCUCAACCUGGGAACUGCGCUCGAAACUGGCGAACUUGAGUGCGGAAGGGGAAGGUGGAAUUCCCGGUGUAGAGGUGAAAUUCGUAGAUAUCGGGAAGAAUACCGGUGGCGAAGGCGACCUUCUGGUCCGCAACUGACGCUGAGACGCGAAAGCGUGGGGAGCAAACAGGAUUAGAUACCCUGGUAGUCCACGCCCUAAACUAUGAUCGCUGGGUGUUGGGGGUAACAAUUCCCUCAGUGCCGUAGCUAACGCGUUAAGCGAUCCGCCUGGGAAGUACGGCCGCAAGGCUAAA